CACGUAGGUGGCGAGCGUUAUCCGGAUUUACUGGGCGUAAAGCGUGUGCAGACGGAGUGGCAAGUGGUGUAUGAAAGGGUCAGGCUCAACCUGACCAGUGUAGGUCAGACUGCUGCUCUAGAGUGCGAGAGAGGGAUGUGGAAUUCCGGGUGUAGUGGUGAAAUGCGUAGAGAUCCGGAGGAACCCCAGAGGCGAAAGCGGCGUCCUGGCUCGCAACUGACGUUCAGACACGACAGCAUGGGGAGCGAACGGG
rnacentral:rRNA from 1 species